GUCUACGGCCAUGCCACCCUGAACGCGCCUGAUCUUGUCUGAUCUCGGAAGCUAAACAGGGUCGGGGCUGGUUAGUGCUUGGAUGGGAAUCUUCCAGGGGGAAAGGUGGGCUUCUCGUCU
rnacentral:rRNA from 1 species